AGGACGUGAAAUUGUUGAAAGGGAAGCGUUCAUGACCAGACUUGGGCAGGUUGAUCAUCCGUGGUUCUCCGCGGUGCACUCUGCCUGCCCAGGCCAGCAUCAGUUCGCCCCGGGGGAUAAAGGUUUCGGGAAUGUGGCUCCUCCGGGAGUGUUAUAGCCCGUUGCGUAAUACCCUGGGACGGACUGAGGUUCGCGCUCUGCAAGGAUGCUGGCGUAAUGGUCAUCAACGACCCGUCUUGAAACACGG
rnacentral:rRNA from 1 species